CCGGCCACACUGGGACUGAGACACGGCCCAGAUUCCUACGGGAGGCAGCAGUGGGGAAUAUUGCACAAUGGGCGAAAGCCUGAUGCAGCAACGCCGCGUGAGGGACGACGGCCUUCGGGUUGUAAACUUCUUUUAGCAGGGAAGAAGCGAAAGUGACGGUACCUGCAGAAAAAGCACCGGCUAACUACGUGCCAGCAGCCGCGGUAAUACGUAGGGUGCAAGCGUUGUCCGGAAUUAUUGGGCGUAAAGAGCUCGUAGGCGGUUUGUCGCGUCUGCUGUGAAAUCCCGAGGCUCAACCUCGGGUCUGCAGUGGGUACGGGCAGACUAGAGUGCGGUAGGGGAGAUUGGAAUUCCUGGUGUAGCGGUGGAAUGCGCAGAUAUCAGGAGGAACACCGAUGGCGAAGGCAGAUCUCUGGGCCGCUACUGACGCUGAGGAGCGAAAGGGUGGGGAGCAAACAGGCUUAGAUACCCUGGUAGUCCACCCCGUAAACGUUGGGCGCUAGAUGUGGGGACCAUUCCACGGUUUCCGUGUCGUAGCUAACGCAUUAAGCGCCCCGCCUGGGGAGUACGGCCGCAAGGCUAAAACUCAAAGGAAUUGACGGGGGCCCGCACAAGCGGCGGAGCAUGCGGAUUAAUUCGAUGCAACGCGAAGAACCUUACCAAGGCUUGACAUAUACGAGAACGGGCCAGAAAUGGUCAACUCUUUGGACACUCGUAAACAGGUGGUGCAUGGUUGUCGUCAGCUCGUGUCGUGAGAUGUUGGGUUAAGUCCCGCAACGAGCGCAACCCUCGUUCUAUGUUGCCAGCACGUAAUGGUGGGAACUCAUGGGAUACUGCCGGGGUCAACUCGGAGGAAGGUGGGGACGACGUCAAAUCAUCAUGCCCCUUAUGUCUUGGGCUUCACGCAUGCUACAAUGGCCAGUACAAAGGGCUGCAAUACCGUAAGGUGGAGCGAAUCCCAAAAAGCUGGUCCCAGUUCGGAUUGAGGUCUGCAACUCGACCUCAUGAAGUCGGAGUCGCUAGUAAUCGCAGAUCAGCAACGCUGCGGUGAAUACGUUCCCGGGCCUUGUACACACCGCCCGUCAAGUCAUGAAAGUCGGUAACACCCGAAGCCAGUGGCCUAACCGCAAGG
rnacentral:rRNA from 1 species